GCUGGAUAUUGUGAGAAGAGAACAGUAUAUCAGCUGCAAAAAGUAUGGGAGCGCAUUAAAGGAAAGCACAUAAACUGAUGACCUUGGCUGUGAUUUUGACAGUGAUGCUGUCAAAUCUGUCCAGAGAAAAGAAGCAGUGCAUCCUGUAACCUCAUAUAAGGAGAUCAUACCACAGGAAGAGUAGGUGCUAGCUACAUGUGGGUACUCCAGUAUCUGGAUGCACCACCUCCAAAUCCUUGGAGAUGCCAACAUCUUUACCCAAAGUUAGCGUACAGAAUCGUGCAUUAUUACUUUUUACAGAAUGAAUAUCAUUGUACAAUAAGGUCCCAGUUUAUAUCAAAGUUAGAUCCCUGGAACAUGACAAGCCAGUUUUGACUACCACCUGAGUUUAUGUAUUUUUCAUUCUUGUCAUCAAAGUAGAUAUAUUGUGGUAUUUUCAACAAUUUAAUAUGUCUUUCAUUUAUAUAAUUAUGAUCUCAUGAUAUACUGUAAUGUACAGUGAGAUAAGAUUAUAUAAAAUGAAGUAGUAAGAAUGUAUGAGAAAAGAAUAAUGAGAGAGAGAGAGAGAGAGAGAGAGAGAGAGAGAGAGAGAGAGAGAGAGAGAGAGAGAGAGAGAGAGAGAGAGAGAGAGAGAGAGAGAGAGAGAGAGAGAGAGAGAGAGAGAGACUUAGAUGCAUCCUGGUCACGUACAUAUUCAGCCUGAAACUCCUAAGAGAUUUAUCUGCGCAAUUACUUAAUUUUACACUAUAAAUUUCCUUACUUCCCUUUUCCAUUGAAUUUGAGACUCAGUAUUUAGAAGAAUUUCUCUUGACAGUGAAGUAAUCAGUAUUCAUCUAGUCUCUCUAAUUUAAUCAGUAGAAUUUUUAGAAUUAAAGACCGCAUGGGGAACAGUGUGUGGGUGUGUGUGUGUGUGUGUGUGUGUGUGUGUGUGUGUGUGUGUGUGUGUGUGUGUGUGUGUGUGUGUGUGUGUGUGUGUGUGUGUGUGUGUGUGUGUGUAUGUCACACUGCCCCCACUUCCUUGUACCCCCUCCCCUUAGUGGCAGAGGGAGAGGUGCGUUUUCCACAGUCACUACCCAGCACUUGAAUGGAACAAACAUACUGAGACAUGUUCUAAUAUUUGACAGAGACUAGGAAGGGAUAACAGUUAGUUGGUUUUAGUUGCCUUUAAGGGGAUAAAUGAGUCAUUACUGGUCCAUUUAUAUAGAAUAGGAGUCUCCAAAGUAGUCUACCAGAGACUACUUUGGAGACUCCUAUACUCUGGGUAUGGUGUGUGUAUAAUACACACCAUACCCAGGGAAGUGACUCCUUGGCUGCACGAGUGUGCAGGCCAAGCUCUCACAGUGAACGGUGAAUGACCCUCCUGUGUGUUCGUGGGCACUCUUUUGUAGUAGUUUCUUGUAUCCCUUGUUAGUGACCCUGUUAUGUUCUAAAUGCUACUGCUGCCUGAUGCAAUUCAGCUGCAGAGGACUUGAGUAAUUAGCCAUGUAGUGAACUUUACUCCCUCCUCAGGUCCUGAUAAGGCCUGGCAUCCAGGGGGCAGUAAACGACACUACUCGGCUUGAGGCCAUAACAUGCCGUUGGACAGUGGGAGGAUUCGUCACAGAGAGUGGAUGUGCAUUUACACAAUUUACACAUGACCCUGUUCAGUGGCAAGACCACCAAAUGAACAACCCAUACACCCAAGUGCCACCAACAGCACUGUGAUGGCACCCACUGUCACCAGCACAACAGAUGGCAAAAGUUGGCAUAUUAUCAGAUAACAUAUUUUUUACUUUAAAAGAAAAGUUGCAGUUAAAGUGAUGUAAUACUACAUAGAUAAUGAAGAAAAUUUGUACAAUCUCCUUUUCAUAUAUCCCUCUCUACAUCCUCCAGCCAGAGAGGAGGAAAAUCUAAUACAAUAAUAAUGAUAAUUAACAACAACUAGCCAUAACAAAAGCCUUCCAAUUUAGUUUUAUUGACAGAAUAAAAUGUUUUUGUCUUCAGUGUUCUGCUGUCCACCACACUAUAGCAUGUCGCCACUGUUGUGGUGGGUCACAAGGCACAGCCAGUCAUCUGCCACACUACUCAUGCAGGCUUUCUAACUCACCCUGCCAACAUACAUUUUCUUCCUUGAUAUUACCAUGCACAUGCAUUUUCAUUAAUCUCAUAAUAAGAUUUAAUUCUUCAAAAUUUUGUUACAGGUCACAGGAUAUUUAAAACCAGUCAGCUGUGAUGCUGCUCACACAUGCUCACCUACCUCCUCAGUCAUUCAUCCUGCCAACAUAAAUAAAACUCUUAACAUUAACAUUCA